rnacentral:rRNA from 1 species
ACGGACCAGACUCCUACGGGAGGCAGCAGUGAGGAAUAUUGCGCAAUGGAGGAAACUCUGACGCAGCCAUGCCGCGUGCAGGAAUAAGGCCCUAUGGGUUGUAAACUGCUUUUAUACGGGAAGAAAUGUAUCUACGUGUAGAUAUUUGACGGUACCGUACGAAUAAGGAUCGGCUAACUCCGUGCCAGCAGCCGCGGUAAUACGGAGGAUCCAAGCGUUAUCCGGAUUUAUUGGGUUUAAAGGGUCCGCAGGCGGAAUAUUAAGUCAGUGGUGAAAUCCUACAGCUUAACUGUAGAACUGCCAUUGAUACUGGUUUUCUUGAGUACACCUGAAGUGGGCGGAAUGUGUCAUGUAGCGGUGAAAUGCUUAGAUAUGACACAGAACACCGAUUGCGAAGGCAGCUCACUAAAGUGUAACUGACGCUGAGGGACGAAAGCGUGGGUAGCGAACAGGAUUAGAUACCCUGGUAGUCCACGCCGUAAACGAUGAUCACUAGAUGUUGGCGAUAUACAGUCAGUAUCUGAGCGAAAGCAUUAAGUGAUCCACCUGGGGAGUACGGUCGCAAGAUUGAAACUCAAAGGAAUUGACGGGGGCCCGCACAAGCGGUGGAGCAUGUGGUUUAAUUCGAUGGUACGCGAGGAACCUUACCUAGGCUUAAAUGUAGAUUGACGUAUUGGGAAACCAGUAUUUCUUCGGACAAUUUACAAGGUGCUGCAUGGUUGUCGUCAGCUCGUGCUGUGAAGUGUCGGGUUAAGUCCCAUAACGAGCGCAACCCCUAUCAUUAGUUGCUAACAUUUAGUUGAGGACUCUAGUGAAACUGCCCGCGUAAGCGUGGAGGAAGGUGGGGAUGACGUCAAAUCAUCACGGCCCUUACGUCUAGGGCUACACACGUGCUACAAUGGUGAAUACAGAGGGAAGCCAGCUGGUAACAGUGAGCAAAUCCAUAAAAUUCAUCUCAGUUCGGAUUGAGGUCUGCAACUCGACCUCAUGAAGCUGGAAUCGCUAGUAAUCGAAUAUCAGCCAUGAUUCGGUGAAUACGUUCCCGGGCCUUGUACACACCGCCCGUCAAGCCAUGGAAGUUGGGAGUACCUGAAGUCGGUAACCGAAAGGAGCUGCCUAAGGUAAAAUCAGUAACUGGGGCUAAGUCGUAACAAGGUA